rnacentral:rRNA from 1 species
UACGUAGGGGGCGAGCGUUGUCCGGAAUCAUUGGGCGUAAAGCGCGUGUAGGCGGCCAGAAAAGUCCGCUGUGAAAACUCGAGGCUCAACUUCGAGCUGUCGGUGGAAACUUUCUGGCUAGAGUCCGGAAGAGGAGAAUGGAAUUCCUGGUGUAGCGGUGAAAUGCGCAGAUAUCAGGAAGAACACCCGUGGCGAAGGCGGUUCUCUGGGACGGUACUGACGCUGAGACGCGAAAGCGUGGGGAGCGAACAGG